UUUUUUCUCUUUGGUUAUUUAUUCUUUGUAUUUAUAGUUCAAGUUGUGUUACUAUAUAGGAAUGUGUGUUUUAUGCGCUUAAGAAUUCGACAUGAUCAUUAUUAUGCAAUUCAGAUUUGGUACAACUUUUUCAUACUUGAUUGGUGUUUUUUCUCUUUUGUCUCUGUAUUAAAUUUUUUUUAAUACUUUUUGAAUCAGGUUUUGGCAGAGUAUGACGGGGACUCUGGUGAAAAAUUUUACGCUUCGUAUUUUCCUAUUCCAUUUGAAUUUCACAGUGUUUAUCUUGAAAGUGGAAUUAGGUUUUGGCACAGUAUGAGUCCAACCAUAUGGAUUCAGGUGAAACUUUUAUAUCUUCUUUCUUCCUUUCCAUUUGGUUUUUCAAUAUUUUCUUGACAGUGUGAUUUGUAAGAGACAAACUGAAAAAAGAAAACUGAGAUAAUCAUAUUACUGUAUCUUAUAGCUUCAUGAUUCCUUGCUUGCUUUUAUUUUUUAUCCAAUAUUUGUGCAGUACUUGAUAAGUAAUAUUAUUCAAGUACAAAAGGUAAACCUUUAAUAUUUUGAUAAGAUUUUUCCUAAAUUGGAUAUGUUGAUUGAGAACUCCUUCAUGCUACUUUCUCCAUGUUUUUUUAAUCUCGGAGUUGAAUGUUCUGCACUCAAUAUUAAAGUAUAGAAGAUCUUUUGGUUUUUAGCUUGAUACUACGAAGAUGGAUAUAAAGCAUGUCUAUAUUGCAGCCUUGCAUGUAUGAUGUUACUGCAACUUAAUAAUGAUACAACUUUUAUUUUUAUGCAGGGUUACAGCUGAACAUUCAAAUAAUAACCCUCCAAAGCAACAAUAAACUGUUGAUGUGAGACAUUGGCGAAAUGGGGAAUAGUCUUGCAGACUAUAAAAAAUUUAUAAAGAGUCUGACAAGAAACAAUGAGAGCCUUAUAACUUUUGUUAAAAGAAAAUUCAUAUAUAUUUUAAUUGAAACAAACUCAAAUUAGUACUGAAGUGAGGAAGGUAUUGUGAGAAAAGCUUAUAAUCAUCAUAUAAUCCAAACAUAUGUGUAUCAUCCUUUUUUUUUUAAAUCAGUGAAUGUAUACCAUUUUUUAAUUAAC
rnacentral:lncRNA from 1 species